UACGAAGGGGGCUAGCGUUGCUCGGAAUCACUGGGCGUAAAGCGCACGUAGGCGGCUUUCUAAGUCAGGGGUGAAAUCCUGGAGCUCAACUCCAGAACUGCCUUUGAUACUGGAAAGCUUGAGUUCGGGAGAGGUGAGUGGAACUGCGAGUGUAGAGGUGAAAUUCGUAGAUAUUCGCAAGAACACCAGUGGCGAAGGCGGCUCACUGGCCCGAUACUGACGCUGAGGUAGCGAA
rnacentral:rRNA from 1 species